rnacentral:lncRNA from 1 species
AUGUGAGGCUCUCUUCCCCGCCCCAUGUGUGGCUGUGACUUGUGUCUUGGCUAUUCAGGUUUGAAUGAGUCAACACACUGUGACCCUGUGGUGUGCUUCGCAGCACACUAAAAUCAGUCAGAAGGCAAGGCUGCCUGUCCUGACCCUAGUGCCCACUCACUGCGCAUGGGUGAGAGCCUCUGGUCACUUCUAGAGUGCGCCUUCUCUAUGAUGGGGUUGAUGUGGAAAUCAAGAAGAAACAUUUUUGUUUAAAAGUAAUAUUGGACCCUUUAGAUCUCAGGCCAUUUGAAAUAGGUACCUAGGGGCCAUUAAGAUGACUCAGCAGUUAAAGAUGGAGGAUCAAGCCUAGUGACUUGAGUGUGAGCCUUAGAAUCCACAUGGUAGAUGGAGAAAACAAACUCUCAGAAGUUGACUUCUAAGACUUAUGCACUGACAUACAUGUCUUGCUUUUUCACACACAAAAUUGGAAGCAAAAAAAAAAAAAAAAAAAAAAAACAAACUUAUAUCCUUGGUUCCUCCUUGAAUAAAUAAAUGUGCUGAUCCUAAAAAAGAAAAUCAGUCUAAACUUGAGGGCAAUUGGAAAGUGUGCCUCUUUGUACUUGGUGCUUGCGGUACCUGAAUUUAGGCUGGUACCAUAAUGGGGAUAUUUGGUUGAAAGAGAACCAUGUAAGUUAGAGCUGAAGAUAUUCAGCUUUCCGCUCUCUUUAAUCUACCAUGGUUCCUAUAUUUUCCUUGCCAUUGAUCCAUGACCUUGAGAGCUCCAUUUUAAAAACAAUCUCUCUCUCUCUCCCCACACGCAUGCGCACAUACACACACACACACACAAAUACACAUGUAUGCUAGAGCACAUAUGUGGAUGUUGGAGGAGAGAGAGAGAGAGAGAGGGAGAGAGAGAGAGAGAGAGAGAGAGAGAGAGAAUAUGAGUUUGUUCUGCUGUGUGAGUCUUGGGGAUUGAAGCCUGUGGUCAGGUUUGGUGACCAGUGCCUUUACCAGCUGAGCCAUAUCUUUGGCCCUUGACCCAAUUUUUAAUGCAACACAUGGAUAUGUGUUUCUCACAGAGACAUAGUUACUGGGUGGCAGAAGGUUCCUAUUUGACACGUGGAGGUCUAGCAAGGUCACACGUUGGGGAAAUAGCAAAGUCAAGACUAGAAGCCAACUCUUUAAUACUCUGUUCUCUGCUCUUUCUAACACAUCACUCCUUCCUGUCAGGUGGAGAGAGAACCAGAUGGUUUGACAAAUGGCUCUUGUUGCUGUCAAAUCUGCCUCUUUCUGCUCUGACAGACAGUUCUUACCUUCCCUCUGUGGGGAGGGGGGUGUGAUAAUGGGAAGGGGAGGACGUGGGGGAAGGAAGACAAUCCCCAUGAUGUUUCUGUGGCAAGAAGCAAGACAAAGGUAAUGAGGAGUCGUCACCUUGAGUUUCAGCACACAGAGGACUAGGAAUGGUGGGCCGUGUUUGGAGACAUUGAUUUCAUAUCUAUCUAUCUUUAAAAAUCAUGUUUAGGAUACCAUAUCCAUAAAUACUAAUAAGACUGUCUGAUUCCAAUUUCCAGGUGAGAUUAGCAUUUUAUUGAGUAUUUUAUCUGUCAGACUCAAUACUCAGUGCACCAUCCUCCCAGGCUUAUUAGCAUAAUUGCCAUGCUUAAGCAACAAUAAAAAAAUUCAGCAGUAAAAUAGCAGUUAGUGCAGGCAAUUUGUUAUCAAAAGCUUUUACUUAAGGACAGCUCCAGCCUGCAGUUAUUAGCAAGUAAGGGUUAUAAUUUAUUUUUAUUUGGAAAAACAAAAAGAGGGAAAAAGAGUUUUUCCUUUUUGUUUUAGAAAUAAUAGAGGAAUUGCAAAACAUCGGCUCUCUAGAAAAUUGUCCACAUCCCAUCUUGCUUUGCUGAAUGCAGGCUGUGCUGGGAAUUGACUCCACUUGAGGCAUGUUGGCUCAGACAGGAAGUUGCUCUCCCAGGCACUGGGACAAAUGAGUGGGAAUGUCCCUUUCUGCUCCUACAGACAUUUCCAAAAACACUUUCCAAUGUGUGUUGCUGUUUGAAUUUCACACCAGUUUUGUGAGGGCCUCCAUUCUUAGAAAUAGAAAUGGGGUUGGAAUGACUUUGUCCCAGUUGAGCCUUUGAGUGGCAUGGCCCCUCAGGAGCUCUUCAUCCAGCCUGUAGUCACACCUCUCUAUGGUAAUCCCUCAUGUUUCUGUCCCCAGUUCUCUUGGGUGUUAUUUAUUAUUAUCACAUACAUGGAUCAGAUGACAGGCAACACACCUAAAUGUGUCUUUACACACAGACUUGUGUAUAUAUACACAUACAUAUUUAUGCACAAAUACAUGCAUGCACAUAUAUUUUUUUCUACAUAUAUUUUUAAUUUAGUUUGCAUGGUAUGUAAUAUGCAUGUGUGCCUUUGUGUGUGCAUACCCUCAUUCCUGUGGGUACACAUGCAGGCUAGAGGUUCCUGUCAGCAUAUUUUCUUUCUUCACCUUACUUUUGGAGACAAGCUCUCUUAUUUGGGUAGACUGGUUGAUAAGUGAGCUGCGGGGAUUUGCCUGUGCUGUUCAGUGUAUUGGUGUUACAGAUAGAGCACCGCCAUCACACCACUUGCUUGAGUUACAGGCACUGUAACUCACUGAGCCAUCCUUCUGCCCCACUGAAAUUGAAUUCUUUACUUACUUGUGUUUCCUUAGGUAUACUGGUUAGAACCGUUCUUCUACAUGCGUUUUUCUUGACUCAAGUGUCUCCCAUUCCCUGCCUUUAAAGUCUGUCUCUCGCUCUCUGCAUUAUCUGUCUCUCUUACUCUCUGACUGACUCAGAAAAGUAUCCAUGAUUGCCACCUGUGAAGGACCUGGCACAGUAGAAAUGGUUUUAUAAGUAAUGGUUCAGUCUCUGCCAGCCAGCCAGAUAGGAUUUUAAAGGUGGGGAUUUAGAAGUCAUUUUUCAUCUUUAUUUCUGGAGAAAGAUAUCAGAAAUAAAUAAGAACAUUAAAUUGAGGCUUUUUACUGUGGUUUAGCCUGAAAUUACAGUGAUAAUUUUCAAAUUGAAGAUAAAAUUUUUGGUGAAAAUGGACAAUUGAGGCUCGUAAACUUUGAGAUAAGUUACUUUAGCAUCUUACAUUUUUGUUUGCUCAGUAAGUUCCAGGAAAGGCUGAAUCCUCACCAACUGGAAUGUCUCUAAUGUGAAAGGCUGUGUGUAGUCGACUUGGGGUUUAUAGGCUAACUCAGAUGGGGCAUUAGACGGGAGACAUGUCUCUACCAUCAGAAUAGCAAUAAUAACUUGAUAAUGUUCUCCUCCUCCAGGACCUACCAUAUGGUAGGAACUCAGCUAGACUCUUUUCUUAUGUCAUUUAGUUUCCAUAAUGUAUCCAGUUAUGCACUGAGUGAGCACCUAUGGUGUACUUACUGUAUACCAAUCACUUCUGUGCAUUGCAUGUAUCACUUCAUUUAAGUGUUGUAACAACCCAGAGCCAUGGUUGCUGGUUAUCUUCUGAGUGUGUAGAUGAGGAAGUGUAGGGAGGAGAGCCUAAGUAAUUUGACCUUGACACCUGACUAAUAGCCAAGCUCCUAACACACUUGUGAUUGGAUGACUUAGCAAAUGAAGUAAAUUAAUAAAUUAAUGGAGAAAGGUGACCCAGAGUACAAUAAGAUGUCAGGGUUAGUCUAGACACUCAAG